GACGAACGCUGGCGGCGUGCUUAACACAUGCAAGUCGAACGGAAAGGCCCCGCUUUUGUGGGGUGCUCGAGUGGCGAACGGGUGAGUAACACGUGAGUAACCUGCCCUUGACUUUGGGAUAACUUCAGGAAACUGGGGCUAAUACCGGAUAGGAGCUCCUGCUGCAUGGUGGGGGUUGGUCAGUUUCGGCGGUUGGGGAGGGGCUCGCGGCUUAUCAGCUUGUUGGUGGGGUAGUGGCUUACCAAGGCUUUGACGGGUAGCCGGCCUGAGGGGGUGACCGGCCACAUGGGGACUGAGAUAGGGCCCGGACUCCGACGGAUGGCAGCAGGGGGGAAUAUUGCACACUGGGCGGAAGCCUGAUGCAGCAACGCCGCGGGGGUGAGAACGGCCUUCGGGUUGUAACCGCUUUCGCCUGUGACGAAGCGGGAGUGACGGUAAUGGGUAAAGAAGCACCGGCUAACUACGUG
rnacentral:rRNA from 1 species